UACGGAGGGUGCGAGCGUUGUCCGGAAUCAUUGGGCGUAAAGGGCGCGUAGGUGGCCCGGUCAGUUCGUGGUGAAAGCGCGGGGCUCAACCCUGCGUCGGCCAUGAAUACUGCCGCGGCUGGAGCACUGUAGAGGCAGGCGGAAUUCCGGGUGUAGCGGUGGAAUGCGUAGAGAUCCGGAAGAACACCGGUGGCGAAGGCGGCAUCCUGGACCAACACUGACGCUGAGGAGCGAAAGCCAGGGGAGCAAACGGG
rnacentral:rRNA from 1 species